AUGGAGAGAUAUAGGGAGCAUAAGAAGGACUUGCAUAUGGUGUUCAUUGACUUGGAGAAGGCCUAUGAUAAGAUAACGCGGAAUGUCAUGUGGUGGGCCUUGGAGAAACACAAAGUCCCAGCAAAGUACAUUACCCUCAUCAAGGACAUGUACAAUAAUGUUGUGACAAGUGUUCGAACAAGUGAUGUCGACACCGAUGACUUCCCGAUUAAGAUAGGACUGCAUCAGGGGUCAGCUUUGAGCCCUUAUCUUUUUGCUUUGGUGAUGGAUGAGGUCACAAGGGGUAUACAAGGAGAUAUCCCAUGGUGUAUGCUUUUUGCGGAUGAUGUGGUGCUAGUUGACGAUAGUCGGACGGGGGUAAAUAGGAAGUUAGAGUUAUGGAGACAAACCUUGGAAUCGAAAGGGUUUAGGCUUAGUAGAACUAAAACCGAGUACAUGAUGUGCGGUUUCAGUACUACUAGCUGUGAGGAGGAGGAGGUUAGCCUUGAUGGCCAGGUGGUACCUCGAAAGGACACCUUUCGGUAUUUGGGGUCAAUGUUGCAGGAGGAUGGGGGUAUUGAUGAAGAUGUGAACCAUCGAAUCAAAGCCGGAUGGAUGAAGUGGCGCCAAGCUUCCGGCAUUCUCUGUGACAAGAGAGUGCCACAAAAGCUAAAAGGCAAGUUCUACAGGACGGCGGUUCGACCCGCAAUGUUGUAUGGCGCGGAGUGUUGGCCGACUAAAAGGCGACAUGUUCAACAGUUAGGUGUGGCGGAGAUGCGUAUGUUGAGAUGGAUGUGUGGCCACACGAGGAAGGAUCGAGUCCGGAAUGAUGAUAUACGAGAUAGAGUUGGGGUAGCACCAAUUGAGGAGAAGCUUGUCCAACAUCGUUUGAGAUGGUUUGGAUGGUGA
rnacentral:rRNA from 1 species